CCUACGGGUGGCAGCAGUGAGGAAUAUUGGUCAAUGGACGAGAGUCUGAACCAGCCAAGUAGCGUGAAGGAUGACUGCCCUAUGGGUUGUAAACUUCUUUUAUAUGGGAAUAAAAUGGUCCACGUGUGGGAUUUUGUAUGUACCAUAUGAAUAAGGAUCGGCUAACUCCGUGCCAGCAGCCGCGGUAAUACGGAGGAUCCGAGCGUUAUCCGGAUUUAUUGGGUUUAAAGGGAGCGUAGGUGGAUUGUUAAGUCAGUUGUGAAAGUUUGCGGCUCAACCGUAAAAUUGCAGUUGAAACUGGCAGUCUUGAGUACAGGAGAGGUAGGCGGAAUUCGUGGUGUAGCGGUGAAAUGCUUAGAUAUCACGAAGAACUCCGAUUGCGAAGGCAGUUCACUGGACUGCAACUGACGCUGAGGCUCGAAAGUGUGGGUAUCAAACAGGAUUAGAUACCCCAGUAGUC
rnacentral:rRNA from 1 species